UACAGGGGGGGCAAGCGUUGUUCGGAAUUACUGGGCGUAAAGGGCUCGUAGGCGGCCAACUAAGUCACACGUGAAAUCCCCAGGCUUAACCUGGGAACUGCGUGUGAUACUGGAUGGCUUGAAUUCGGGAGAGGGAUGCAGAAUUCCUGGUGUAGCGGUGAAAUGCGUAGAGAUCAGGAAGAACAUCGGUGGCGAAGGCGCUCUGCUGGACCAUAACUGACACUCAGGGACGAAAGCUAGGGGAGCGAAUGGG
rnacentral:rRNA from 1 species